rnacentral:rRNA from 1 species
CUCUGUGACUCCUACGGGAAGCAACAGUGGGGAAUAUUGCACAAUGGGCGCAAGCCUGAUGCAGCCAUGCCGCGUGUGUGAAGAAGGCCUUCGGGUUGUAAAGCACUUUCAGUUGUGAGGAAGGUGGUGUCGUUAAUAGCGGCAUCAUUUGACGUUAGCAACAGAAGAAGCACCGGCUAACUCCGUGCCAGCAGCCGCGGUAAUACGGAGGGUGCGAGCGUUAAUCGGAAUUACUGGGCGUAAAGCGCAUGCAGGUGGUUUGUUAAGUCAGAUGUGAAAGCCCCGGGGCUCAACCUCGGAAUUGCAUUUGAAACUGGCAGGCUAGAGUCUUGUAGAGGGGGUAGAAUUUCAGGUGUAGCGGUGAAAUGCGUAGAGAUCUGAAGGAAUACCAGUGGCGAAGGCGGCCCCCCUGGACAAAGACUGACGCUCAGAUGCGAAAGCGUGGGGAGCAAACAGGAUUAGAUACCCUGGUAG